UACAACCAAGAUCUCCUCCCUAAUCCUCCUUAACCUGCUGCUUUCCCCCGUUGUUACUUUCUCCUACUCAAAGUGAGAAUGAUGAGUUUCUUCUCAUCUCAUCAAUGUUAUAUGCCAAUAUCUCUUGGUUUCUAUCAUUGUUUUCUUCAGGUUAGGGUUAGAUUUAAGGAUCGUAUUUUCAUCGUUGUCGACUUCAACGAUUAAGACUAUGCUAACAUCUUUCCUCUCUUGAAUAAUUUGGUAAUCUCCGCCUCUACACUCAAUUGCAGAUUAAUCUAGGGUUUUCUUCGUUUAAAUGCCGACUCACUUGGUGUAUCAUUUUCUUAAAAUUCGAUUAAUUUAGAGUUUUUACUUCUCCCAAAUUCAUUUAGUUAUGUAUAUAUAUCUUGAAAUUCGGUUCAUUUGGGUUAAUGUUAUUGUUCAUUGAUCAAUUUUGGUUGGCGGUUGUGUGUUUUGAUGUCGUAUUUUGGUUCUUUCAGUUGCUAAACUGAAUAUUAUUGCUAUAUUUGUUUAAAUUCGAAUAAUUCAGGGUUUUCUUCUCUCCCAACUCAUUUUUUAAUGUAUAUAUUUCUUGAAAUUUAAUUCAUUAAGGUUAAUGUCAUUGUCCAUUGAUCAAUUUUGGUUGGGGUUGUGCGUUGAUGUCGUGUUUUCGUUCUCUCAGUUGCUAAACCGAGUAUAAUUGCUAUAAAUUGGAGAGUUUUUCAUUCAUAUAAUUUUCAUUCAUAUACUUUGAAUGUUUAUUUUCUUCCCACAAUUGGUUUGAUAACUUGUCUCAACUAAGCUUGGUUGAACGAGUUGUGAUGGAGGCUAAACUUGUAUGCUUAGAUCGAACCAGUUUGGUAUUCAACUUUUUCGGAGCUCGUACCUUUCCCACAUUCCUGCUUGUUGAAAACUAAUUUCCGGCCUUUGAGUUUUUCAUCAGGUACUUUUACUCACAUUUUUUAACUCUAUUAAUCUCAUCUUUAGUCUUUGUGUACCAUUUCUUACUUCUUUGGGAUGACAAGUUGUUAUUUUUAGAGCUGUAAUUGUUUUGUGUUGUGAUCUUUAAUUAUAGAAGUAUGCUUGCAAACUUUCGGUUCAUGUAUGUAUGAUGCGAAAGUUAGUUCCCUUUCCCGCAGCUGUUUAAUCUUUGUUGGAAUUGUUGCUUUCGCUAUGAAUCACGAAGAGUAUUGUUUUUACUAUUGUAACAAAAGUUAAUGGUAUAAGGGUAUGCAUGAUGUUUUUAAAAGGCUUGCUAAUACAAGCUAUAUUACAUGGAUACUUGGCCUUCUAACAUAGGUAUAUUCAUUUGGAGGCUUGAGACAAAAGAUUCUAUUAUUUCCUAAAAUAGCCAAGUCCGACACCCGUACGAAGUGACAUAUACCCUGUAUUUAUUUACGAUGGUAGGGGAGUCCAUGUACAAUACUUACUAAUAGAGACUUUUAGUUUGUGUUGAUCAAAGCCUCAAAAGGUUCUAACACAGUCACAUAUACCGUUGAUCUUCCUGUUAUACCUCUCAAUCCCCCAAAUACUAUAUUCAAAUGUUUGAAAGAGGUUUUCACCCUUCUUUUUAUAAUAAUGGUCUAUGGCUAACUUUCCCAAAUGACCCUACUUAAAUUGAGUGCAGAGAUUGUAGAGUGUGGGAAUAACACAAUUAUUAUACACGACAAUUUAGUACAUUGUGUCAUAUCCCUGAGCCUAAUUGUGAUGAGCUGAGACAAUGCGUGCAGACAACGACUGUUUCUGGAUGAAGGACUGGUAAACUAAAUAAUUUUUUUCCGUUUCAUGUACCCAAACAUACCAUAUAGCAGUUAGUGCUGGUGCAAACUGAAACUUUUCCUGAUAAUGUUCUCCUAUUUUCUAAUUUUGGUGAUUAAAUUUGUUUAUUUUGGGUGUAUUACUUUCGUGAAGUACUCUGUACUGUUAUCUUAACUCACCUACUGGUUCGUUUGUGUUCUUGGGGUUUUACUUGAAUUACGUGGUUCAAUUGUGUGAUGUUUUGACGUCAUUCUUAGGAUCAAUGAGCAACGAGGUGAAAUGUUUCUUGAAGUCUUACAAAUUAUCCGAACUUUAUGUAUCCGAGGUUGAUAAUCUGAAAUGUUAUCCCCGCGUUGAUUUUCCUUAUAUUUUUAGUGCGGUGAGCUAUUUCUUCCUUUAUUGAUUUUCCCUUUUCAUUCAUAUGCUUCCUUUUUUUUAUGUAUUUGAUUGUGGGGUAAGUGCUAUCAAAUCAUCAUUUUAUCUGGGUUCUGCUAAAUUUAAUGUAUUCAUGCUAUAUUUGAUUGUGGGUAGUGAUUUUCAGUCGUUAUGUAGUUAUUUUAUAUGGGUCUCUAAUUAUGGUGAUUUUCCAAUCUCGAUGGUUAAAUUGUGGUUUUGGUAUCCUUUGGAUGUCGAAACAAUACAAUAGUGGCCACCAAAUGGAAAAUUCAAUUCCACUUUUCUGGAGUGACAAAGUAUGUUGGUUGUAAAGCUAGCAUUAAUGCAUGGUGUUUUGUGCCUCAGUUCAUACUCUUUGGAUUGGAGACUUGCAGUAUUGGAUGGACGGGAAUUAUAUUUGCAAUUAUUUUGCCCAUACCGGCGAGCUUGCAGAUUUCCAUGUCAAUAUCGUUCGUAAUAUACAAACCAUGCAGUCAGAGUGUUACAAAUUUCUUGAGUUUACUACUCAUGUUGCUGCUGAGAGGAUUCUGCAGACUCUGAAUAAUACUUUGAUGCCAUGUUGAGUAAAACUACAAACUGGAUUGGGCUUUCUAUGGAACUGGUGAGAAAAGGGGAGAGGAUGCUUCUGAUUAUACAAUUUUUGUCAGAGAUUUAGCUGCAGAUGUUACUGAUUACACAUUGCAAGAAACUUUUAGAGUUCGCUAUCUGUCAGUUAAAGGUGCGAAGGUUGUCAAUUUGUCAUAGAUAGGCAAACUGGUAGCGCUAAGGGUUAUGGAUUUGUUCGUUUGAGAGAUGAAUGAAAUGAUGUGUCCAGGGCGUGCAAUGCGUAUCGGAGCUGCUGCAAACAAGAAAAGUUUUGGUGGAACAGAAAGAUAACUGAAAUGGAUACAUCAAGCAAGAGACAAAAGAAGGCAAUGGAUCAACUAAUUUACAACAUUGCAUGUGGACACCUGUGGUCUUUCGGACGAGGGAUAUGAGGAUACAAAUUCUGCCAUUGAUGUUCAAGUGCUUAAUUACCAGAAUGUUUUAGAAGUUAUUCACGUUUAUUGAUCUAUACGAAACAGAUGUUAUUGUUGCAUCUAGAGUUGAUACUUAUCAAGAUGUAUGAGUCCUAUACAAAUAAGUUGUUUUAACCUUUUAGGUUAGGUCAAGUUUUAUCUCUAGGCUCUUGCUUGUUAGCAUCGACUAAUGGUUAUCAACUCUUUGUAAAGGACUGACUAGAAUGAAAACACCUAUGGUAAUUAUAGCUGAAUUAUAAUAUAUUUUUAAAAUAAUAUAAUAUCUAAAAGAAUA